CAGGCCUAACACAUGCAAGUCGAGCGGACCAUUCCUUCGGGGAUGGUUAGCGGCGGACGGGUGAGUAACACGUAGGCAACCUGCCUGUAAGAUCGGGAUAACUACCGGAAACGGUAGCUAAGACCGGAUAGCUGGUUUCUCCGCAUGGAGGGAUCAUGAAACAUGGGGCAACCUGUGGCUUACGGAUGGGCCUGCGGCGCAUUAGCUAGUUGGUGGGGUAAUGGCCCACCAAGGCGACGAUGCGUAGCCGACCUGAGAGGGUGAUCGGCCACACUGGGACUGAGACACGGCCCAGACUCCUACGGGAGGCAGCAGUAGGGAAUCUUCCGCAAUGGGCGCAAGCCUGACGGAGCAACGCCGCGUGAGUGAUGAAGGUUUUCGGAUCGUAAAGCUCUGUUGCCAAGGAAGAACGCCUCGGAGAGUAACUGCUCUGAGGGUGACGGUACUUGAGAAGAAAGCCCCGGCUAACUACGUGCCAGCAGCCGCGGUAAUACGUAGGGGGCAAGCGUUGUCCGGAAUUAUUGGGCGUAAAGCGCGCGCAGGCGGUCUUUUAAGUUUGGUGUUUAAGCCCGGGGCUCAACCCCGGUUCGCACUGAAAACUGGGAGACUUGAGUGCAGGAGAGGAAAGCGGAAUUCCACGUGUAGCGGUGAAAUGCGUAGAGAUGUGGAGGAACACCAGUGGCGAAGGCGGCUUUCUGGACUGUAACUGACGCUGAGGCGCGAAAGCGUGGGGAGCAAACAGGAUUAGAU
rnacentral:rRNA from 1 species